UACGGAGGGGGCGAGCGUUAUUCGGAAUUAUUGGGCGUAAAGGGCGCGUAGGCGGCCUUGCAAGUCAAAGGUGAAAUCCCUCGGCUCAACUGAGGAACUGCCUUUGAAACUGCAUGGCUUGAGGCCGGGAGGGGGUAGCGGAAUUCCCAGUGUAGCGGUGAAAUGCGUAGAUAUUGGGAGGAACACCAGUGGCGAAGGCGGCUACCUGGACCGGUUCUGACGCUGAUGCGCGAAAGCGUGGGUAGCAAACAGA
rnacentral:rRNA from 1 species